UCAAGAAUUUUUCAGUCGAAUGAAUCACACCCAGCACUUAUUUUUUUGUAAGCCUUCUACUUACUCUAUCUGUCUAAUGGCAAAUGAAACGGGAGGAAACUGAGAAGAGACUCUUGAGUUUUGGUCUUGUAUGAAAUAACAAGUAUUUAGUAAGAUCCUUCCGGAGCCGCACACUUUAUUCACCGUUCUUUCUAUUCAUGGAAGCAUUCCUGGAACUCCCUUUUGGGGGAUAGCGAGCAGCUGCCUCAUUGCAUUCUCUUGGCUUUCCUCGACAUCUUGAACAUUUUCCCUUUCAAAAGCAACCUGCUCCCAGUGAAGUCUUGAUGAAGGACGGUGUAGGAUAUGCAGUAUCAGAAGAAAACAAGUCGAUUAUGAAGGUAGCAACAAUCGCAAGAAUAAUGUGCGCAGAGAGAUGAAGAGGUUUAAGUAGAAGGAAACAAGCAGUGAACACAAACCACGCAGUGAGAAAUCAUCAACUGUACCCCUUGAUAUGAACCGCCCAUGUAUGGACAGAUUCGCGUAAGCAGACGUACCAUAACUGAACUCUGAUCACAAAUGAAUUGAAGAAGACGAUCCAAGAUUUUGGGUAUCAGAAAAUCAUUGCAAAUCGGUUAAUUUUGCAUUUGGCAACAGAUUUACAGGUGCAAAGAGAGGAAUUGUACUCUGGCGUCCAGGAAUUAUUUGAAGGCAAUGUAGACCAGUCUUUUAUCAUCUGGUUUGUUGAAUAGGCUACAUCUAUGGUACCUUGUUUAAUUAUAAUGUUACUUAAUAAAUUAAAAUCAAAUAAAUUUCAAUAGUCAAAUUUUAUCCCCAGCUGCAAUAUUUUAAGUAAAAAUGUUCUUGUUCUGUACGUUACCGGAUGUAAUAACUUAUCUUGUAAUUUUCCAGGUUCAUAAUAUAAAAAAUAUUAUUUCUCUUGCUCGCAUUUUUCCAUGUAAUCCAUGUUUUUUCCAGGUUAUGCUGUUAUGCUAAUUAAUAAUGUGUCAAAUGUGUCAAUUAGCGGUGUGGUUGAUAAUCUUUUCCUUACCACAAUGAUGCCGUUGACACACAUUAAAAGUUCCCUUACAGAACUAUAUUCAUUAAAAAAGUAUAGAACUAUAUUACCGCCCUCAAAUUUGAGAAAC
rnacentral:lncRNA from 1 species